rnacentral:rRNA from 1 species
CCAGGCUGAAGACUUUGCCGGAUUAGCUUGAGAGGUGUGCAUGGCCGUCGUCAGUUCGUACUGUGAAGCAUCCUGUUAAGUCAGGCAACGAGCGAGACCCACGCCCACAGUUGCCAGCGUACUCUCCGGAGUGACGGGUACACUGUGGGGACCGCCGCUGCUAAAGCGGAGGAAGGAAUGGGCAACGGUAGGUCAGUAUGCCCCGAAUAUCCCGGGCUACACGCGAGCUACAAUGGUUGGUACAAUGGGUAUCUACCCCGAAAGGGGACGGGAAUCUCCUAAAACCAAUCUUAGUUCGGAUUGAGGGCUGCAACUCGCCCUCAUGAAGCUGGAAUCCGUAGUAAUCGCGUUUCAACAGAACGCGGUGAAUACGUCCCUGCUCCUU